rnacentral:rRNA from 1 species
CAUGCAAGUCGAACGGUUUGUAGCAAUACAGAUAGUGGCGCACGGGUGCGUAACACGUAACUAACCUGCCCAAGACUGGGGGAUAGCCCGCCGAAAGGCGGAUUAAUACCGCAUAACACUUUUGAGUGGCAUCACUUAAUAGUUAAACCUGAGGGGGUCUUGGAUGGGGUUGCGGGUCAUUAGCUAGUUGGUUAGGUAACGGCUGACCAAGGCGACGAUGACUAGGGGAGCUGAGAGGCUGGACCCCCACACGGGCACUGAGAUACGGGCCCGACUCCUACGGGAGGCAGCAGUAGGGAAUAUUGGGCAAUGGGCGAGAGCCUGACCCAGCCAUGCCGCGUGCAGGAAGAAGGCUUUCUGAGUCGUAAACUGCUUUUGAUAGGGAAGAAUAACCUGUACGUGUACAGGGAUGACGGUACCUACAGAAUAAGCACCGGCUAACUCCGUGCCAGCAGCCGCGGUAAUACGGAGGGUGCGAGCGUUGUCCGGAUUUAUUGGGUUUAAAGGGUGCGUAGGCGGCCCGUUAAGUCCGGGGUGAAAGCCCGUUGCUCAACAACGGAACUGCCCUGGAUACUGGCGGGCUUG